rnacentral:rRNA from 1 species
UACGUAGGGUGCGAGCGUUAAUCGGAAUUACUGGGCGUAAAGCGUGCGCAGGCGGUGGCUCAAGCCAGGCGUGAAAUCCCCGGGCUUAACCUGGGAAGUGGCGUUUGGGACUGGGUCGCUAGAGUGUGGCAGAGGGAGGUGGAAUUCCACGUGUAGCAGUGAAAUGCGUAGAGAUGUGGAGGAACACCGAUGGCGAAGGCAAUCCCCUGGACCUGUACUGACGCUCAUGCACG